UACGUAGGUGGCAAGCGUUGUCCGGAAUUAUUGGGCGUAAAGCGCGCGCAGGCGGUCCUUUAAGUCUGAUGUGAAAGCCCACGGCUCAACCGUGGAGGGUCAUUGGAAACUGGGGGACUUGAGUGCAGAAGAGGAGAGUGGAAUUCCACGUGUAGCGGUGAAAUUCGUAGAUAUCGGGAGGAACACCAGAGGCGAAGGCGGCCACCUGGACAGACACUGACGCUGAGAAGCGAAAGCGUGGGGAGCAAACAGG
rnacentral:rRNA from 1 species